rnacentral:lncRNA from 1 species
UAAGAUUACCUUUACGGUCCAUGAAAAUAGAUUCCCUACUAACUAAAAUUAAGGUAAAACAACGACUAAAGCGCUCAAUUUCUGCAAAUAAAGGCUUGCAAAUCCAAAUCUAAUGGCCAAAGCUCCUAAAAUUUGAUGCUUGAUUUUUAAGAUAAUCGGAUCACCUCCUUUUGAUGAGCACCUAUGUUGUGGUUUGUGGACCAAUGAAAAGGUUAUUUUCUAAAAUUCAAGUGCCUUUGAUGUAAGUUGGCUGAAGUCAUAUAUGAAUAAACUCUGUUUUUCAAUAUGGACAAUCUUAUAAUUCUUUUCAGAUUAUAUUCUUGAGAAGAACCGAAAAAGAGGACUAUAUAAGAUUUGAUCAAAGAAAUCGCCGAACCGGUAUUGUGACUCAUAGUGUUUAGCUAUCGGUACAGUAUAGUAUGAGUCUGUAUCGUACCAUAUCGUGUUGAAACAUGGAGAGAGAGAAGGAGAGAGAGGGAG